rnacentral:tRNA from 1 species
GCAGGUGUAGUUUAAUGGUAGAAUAAGAGCCUUCCAAGCUCCUGACGGGAGUUCGAUUCUCCUCACCUGCUCCA